rnacentral:lncRNA from 1 species
UGAGCUAUAUCCCUAGCCCACACAUAAUAUUAUAAAAUUGUGUUAUCAUAUAUAAAACAUAUAUUUUAACCAUUUCGAGUGUGCAGCUUGGAGACAUGUUACAUCACAUUGUAGUACAGCCAUCACCCCCAUCAGAAAUUCUUUGUCUUCCAGAACAAGCUCUGUGCCCAUUAAGCUCUAACUCCCCAUCCCCCUUCUCCCAGCCCUUGGCAAUCACCAUUGCCUGUCUCUAUGAGUUGUCUACUCUUGGGAAUCCUAUUUGUCCUUCUGUGACCGACUUAUGUCACUUAGCAUAAUAUCCUCAAGAUUCAUCCAAGUUGUACUAUGUUCCCUUUAAAUACUUAGUGAAUAUUCCAUUGCGUGUACAUAAUCAUUUUUUAUUUUUCCAUUCAUCUUUUGGUGGACAUCCGAAUAACUUCCACCUUUGGCUAUUGGAAACAAUGAAUAAGGGUUUAUCAGUGUGUCUUUGAAACCCUGAUUUCAAUUCUUUGGGGCAUACACCCAGAAAUAGAAUUGCUGGAUCAUGUGACAAUUUCAUUUUUAACUUUUUUGAGGAAGAGCUGUGCUGGAUUUCCACAACUAGUGUAAAUAGUAUUUUUGUGUGUGUGUGUGUGUGUGUGUGUGUGUGUGUGUGCCACGUGGAGAUAGAACCAAGGGCCUCAGGCAUGCUCCACAAGUGCUCCACCACUGAAUUACACCCCCAUCUCUAUUGAUAUAAUUUUUAACAAGCAUCUAGUGUUGUAAGAAGUUACAAUUUACUCAGGUUUUGCUUGUGUAUUUCACAGUACCUCUUAUUGUUCCAGUCCCAUUAGCAGCAGGGCAGCAUUUUGUAAGAUUAUUGGCUGCAGUAGAACAUUUCUUUUUAAAAGUUCAACCAAAACCUCUGCUGAGCACAUUUGUGGAAAUCAUGCCAGUUCUGUGAUUCUAGUCCCCCCUGGGGACCUGGCUCACGGCUCUGUUUUGAAUGCUCUAAUAAGUUUCAUACUCUGUAGGUCCAGAUACCUGGGGGAAGAUGUCUUUGGAGUCCUCAAGUUGGGCCUAUUCACAUG